GAUGAACGCUGGCGGCGUGCCUAAUACAUGCGAGUCGAGCGAACGGACGAGAAGCUUGCUUCUCUGAUGUUAGCGGCGGACGGGUGAGUAACACGUGGAUAACCUACCUAUAAGACUGGGAUAACUUCGGGAAACCGGAGCUAAUACCGGAUAAUAUUUUGAACCGCAUGGUUCAAAAGUGAAAGACGGUCUUGCUGUCACUUAUAGAUGGAUCCGCGCUGCAUUAGCUAGUUGGUAAGGUAACGGCUUACCAAGGCAACGAUGCAUAGCCGACCUGAGAGGGUGAUCGGCCACACUGGAACUGAGACACGGUCCAGACUCCUACGGGAGGCAGCAGUAGGGAAUCUUCCGCAAUGGGCGAAAGCCUGACGGAGCAACGCCGCGUGAGUGAUGAAGGUCUUCGGAUCGUAAAACUCUGUUAUUAGGGAAGAACAUAUGUGUAAGUAACUGUGCACAUCUCGACGGUACCUAAUCAGAAAGCCACGGCUAACUACGU
rnacentral:rRNA from 1 species